rnacentral:sRNA from 1 species
CUGAAAGCUGCCUGGGAAGGGAGAGAGGAGGGAAAGAUACAGCAAUCGAAAACUCCUACUGAAAGUAAGCUUGCAAAGCAAAACUUUAAAAUACAUGAAGACAUAGAUAUGGAGUUCAAAAUUUGUUCAAGCAAGACACGAAUUUACUAAAAGUGAAAUUAGCAGUUGGAAUUCCUGGAAAUGACAAUAAACCUUCAAGAGGAGAACUCCGUUACACGUCACGAAGUCAAAUGCCAGGGGAAACCAUUAGCUGGAAUCCACAGGAAAAGAACGCAACACGGAGCACGAAGCCCAAGCACAGAAGAUCAAAGACGCCAGGAGAGGACCCCUCGCACCUUUUCCAAACCAAAAAUGUGAAGCAGCAGAACUUCCAAAACCUCCGGCCUCGUCUUGUGAUUCCACCAAUGCAGCCAUCGCCAAGCAAGCCUUGAAAUAGCCCAUCAAGGGCAAACAGGCCCCCGAAAAAAAGCUCAAGGAAAAGUCGCAAACUCAUGGAUUUCUACCCUGUCCCAAGGAGCUCCAGGAAGGGCAAAGCGGAGCUGCAAUUUGAAGAAAGGGAAAGAAUAAAUGAAUUGAUUGAAAGCGGGAAGGAAAGAAGGAGUGAAGACUGACCUCAUCAAUGACAAAGGCCGGGUGUGAACACCAGAGGGAGCUCUCCCGGGGCGCCUUUGUGGUAGAAAAGCACCGGAGCCUCACGGAGAUCACCGACGCCACGGGACCCCUCCAUGAUGGAUCUCCGUGGAUCUCCGCAGUUGAACGUUUUGUGCUUCCCAUGCAUGCAGUCAAAAACUCAGCACACAGGCCAGGCGCGGUGGCU